rnacentral:rRNA from 1 species
GACGGAGGAUGCAAGCGUUAUCCGGAAUGAUUGGGCGUAAAGCGUCUGCAGGUGGCAGUUCAAGUCUGCUGUCAAAGACCGGGGCUUAACUUCGGAAAGGCAGUGGAAACUGAACAGCUAGAGUAUGGUAGGGGCAGAGGGAAUUCCUGGUGUAGCGGUGAAAUGCGCAGAUAUCAGGAGGAACACCAAUUGCGAAGGCAGCUCGCUGGGACGUUACUGACGCUGAGACGCGAAAGCGUGGGGAGCAAACAGG